rnacentral:lncRNA from 1 species
AAGCUAGCUGCAAGCAGGGACCAGAUUAGUGGAUAUCCUCUUUAAGGGUGAAGUCUUUCCAAUUGCUGUCAACUUUGGCAGGAGUCAGAGGGACUCUUCUUGGGUCACUAACAAUAGACUGUCUGCCCAGCACCAGAGAGCACUGAUAGUCCCCUGACGGCCAUUGUCCCUUGCCCAGCUCACCCACUGGCCUCCCAAGGAAGCACUGUUCAUUGUCUGCCAGACUACAAUGGUGACUUUCUCCUGAGAUAGACCUCCUUGAAGGGACAUGAUCUGGAUGCCAGGUUAAUAACACUGAAAAAUUCACCAUUUCUUUGGUAUUAUAGAUAUAAUUGAUAUAUAGAAAUAAAUAUAUAUUUUAGGCACAAAGGCAUGUAGGAUAUCUAACACAUAUAUAAAUAAUACAUGUAUAUGUCUAAUACACAUACCACAUAUAUGUGUGUACGUAUAUCCAUAUGUGUGUAUAUAUUUAUGUGUGUAUAUGUAUACAUUUGUAUUAUACAUUUUUUCCCUCUCUUUCAAGAUCACCAUGGAUAGUGAGGACAGCCACACAUUUUUGAGUAUUUCCUAUGUUAGUGCUUAAGACAGUACUUCCUAUCUCUAAGGAUUUGAAAUUUAUUUGGAGAGACCAGACAUGUACAGACUGAGAUAAAUAAUGAAUAAUAAUAGGGACCACAGAGGCAGAUUUAUUGUGAAGCUAAUGAAGCUCCAGCCCCAGGGCCCCUGACUUGUACAACGCAUUCCUUGCCGUUUUUGAAUAUAUUGCCAGGGCCCACCCAGCACUUUCCAGGGCCCUGGAGGAGCCCUAGCAGUAUACGUAGCUGGGCCUUCAUGGGAUCAUAACUGGUAAAAUUGGAAGAAGAUUUUAAGCAAUCCUUUAAUGUUUUUCUUUCUCAUUCUGACUUCCCUGCUGUCACAUUUCUGUUUGGGUUUGAUGACAUUGGACUUGAAAGUGCUUUUGAGAUAUAGCUAGGGGGAAGUCGAAUUGGGUCCACAUUUUGUUUGGGUUUAGUGGGAUGUAUUUAUGCAGUUCACAGUCAUCUCUGUGUCAAGUUAUCCCUAGCCAUCCUAGUGUAGAAGUUGCUUCAUAGGAUCGCCACCCACCGUGCCAGCUUACCUGGGGUCCUUACACAAAGGGGAGGGUCAGAGAGAGAAUUGCAGUGUUAACGGGUACCAUGACAUCUGCUGUGGGAUGGUUUAUGGUGCGUGGAGCCAGGUCUGUGGAGAAUUCUUUCACUUGUUAGAUGUGUAAAAUUCUACGUGGAGGAUUCAGUUCUUAUCUAAGUGUAGUCAGUAUGAAAAUUCUCUUCUUUUAGGAAUAUACUCAAUAAUACAAAUAUACUAUUAGAAAUGCACCAUUUUUAAUGGGAAUUCUGUGUUUAAGAUUCUUGUUCAUUUGACAUGAAUAUGCCUGAUACCAAAAAUACUGACAACAAACUGGUUAAUGAGUAUCAUUGAUAAAAAGAAUAUUUAAAGUUAGUCAUUGCACGAGAAAACUUGAAAUGUCCUGGAUUUUUAUGGCUCAUAUGUGAAAGAAAAUUAAGAGAUGUGAUUACAGGUUUGACAACAAUCCUAAAAAUGUAUAUGUCAUUGCCAAUAAAGAACUAUAAGGCUAAAAGUAACUUUUCUGAAUUGUCAAUAAUUAGGAAUAAAUUUUGAUCACCCAUGCUUGAGGGGAGAUUGAUUCAUCUUUCUGCCCUGUGGAAAAUGAUAUGAAUAUAAGUCAUUGUGAUAUGAGGAUUCAUCAGAGUAUACAGCCCAAAAGAAGUAUUUAUAGCAGUGUGUCAGGAAGUUAAUUAAUACACAUACUGGGUUCUUUUCCUGGAUUCUGAUUUUAGGAUGUUUUGGUAUUGCGGCUUGUAAAAUUUUGUGAUUUGUUGUGAUUUCUUAAUCUCAAUAGAUAAUCACUUUUGUAAACAUUUUAUAACAUUCAAUUUUUUUUCAUAAGAAAAGUCUGAAUCUGCAGGCCCACAAAACUUGGGUCUAUUCCUUGAGCUCCCAAUUCGGGAAUCAUUACUAUAUGUGCCACAGACAGUGCUAAAUAAUUUUUGUAUAGUAUUUCAUUGGCCCUCACAGCAAGCCUGUGAAGUAGACAUUACCCCCAUCCUGUAAGUACUGCCUUCCGCUUUGGAGUUAAAUAUGCUACCAUAUUAGUUAAAUAACACACUUAGUGAAAUAUGAACUAGAGUGUUUGUUUAUAUUGGUAUAAAACAGAAAUAUUUUUCUUCAGGACAGAAAGCCUCUUUUACCUCAAUAAAUAUCAUUAUUUUAAUGGGUCUUCCCCUCUCUGUCCUGUAGCCCCUGCCCACAGCUGCACCAGCGGGGGUGUGCUCUGAACUGUGUGGUCACCUCCUGUGCACUGUUUCCUCCCCCAGAAACUCAGGGUCUUGUCAUCAUCCUAUCCUCGUCCCCAAGACGUGUUUUCAGAAAUGGUAUGAAAAUAAAAAUUGAGAAGUACUUUGGGCUGUGAAAAAAAUAAAUUACAAAGAUUUCCAAAAUUAAAAUCAUGUAAUUAUGUUCAGGAGGCUGGGGUGGAGGUUUUACUGUGAAGCGGUUAUGCAUGACCCUGGAAUCCCACAGGCUACGUGACCUUGGCCAACUUAUUUAAUUCCUGUAGCCCUCAGCUUCUGUGCAAUGAGCAUGGGAAUAGUAUUUAUCUCCCAGUGUUGUUAUGAGGAUUAAGUAGAAACAUGACUAUGAAGGGCCUGGAGAUCAGGAAGCCCCCACACAUGUUAUAACACUGAUAGGAUUUACCUUUUUUUUGCAUCCAUGGUGAUGCUCCCUAUGCCACAUACUCCUCAAAGUCUCCUGUCCUCUUCAUAUUUCCAUAAUAUGAUGGGAGAAAAACAAUCAAAAUAACCAUAUACAUUUCUGCUUUUUGUUAAAUAUUUUACCUUGGAGAUAUUAGGUGAAAUUUGAUUUCCCUGGUAGAGUUUUGGUUUGUGUUUGUGUAAGUCAUACUGAGUGGUCGUAGGAAUUCAUGAGCUGUUAAAACAUUCCACACACAAAUUCUUGCUGUUUGAAAAUAUAGCAGCCUUAAUUUAGUAUUGUUUAUCCAGAUUUAAGUUUUUGAGACAUUAGAUCAUGUGAUUAGAAAAAUACUUCCAUGUUUGAUAAAUAUAGUUUUCUCUUUCGGAAAGAAGGCAUUUCAAGAGUCUAGAG